GUAAGGAAUAUUGGUCAAUGGGCGCAAGCCUGAACCAGCCAUGCCGCGUGCAGGAAGACGGCCCUAUGGGUUGUAAACUGCUUUUGUACCGGAAUAAACCUUCUCUUGCGAGAGAAGCUGAACGUACGGUAAGAAUAAGGAUCGGCUAACUCCGUGCCAGCAGCCGCGGUAAUACGGAGGAUCCAAGCGUUAUCCGGAUUUAUUGGGUUUAAAGGGUGCGUAGGCGGCUUUUUAAGUCAGGGGUGAAAACUUGCGGCUCAACCGUAAGCUUGCCUUUGAUACUGAGGAGCUUGAAUACACUUGAGGUAGGCGGAAUGUGACAAGUAGCGGUGAAAUGCAUAGAUAUGUCACAGAACACCAAUUGCGAAGGCAGCUUACUAAAGUGUGAUUGACGCUGAGGCACGAAAGCGUGGGGAUCAAACAGGAUUAGAAACCCGUGUAGUCC
rnacentral:rRNA from 1 species